UACGGAGGGGGCUAGCGUUGUUCGGAAUUACUGGGCGUAGAGCGCGCGUAGGCGGCUUUGUAAGUUAGAGGUGAAAGCCCGGAGCUCAACUCCGGAACUGCCUUUAAGACUGCAUCGCUAGAAUUGUGGAGAGGUAAGUGGAAUUCCGAGUGUAGAGGUGAAAUUCGUAGAUAUUCGGAAGAACACCAGUGGCGAAGGCGACUUACUGGACACAUAUUGACGCUGAGGUGCGAAAGCGUGGGGAGCAAACAGG
rnacentral:rRNA from 1 species